rnacentral:rRNA from 1 species
UACAUGUGGGGCAAGCGUUGUUCGGAAUUACUGGGCGUAAAGCGCGUGUAGGCGGCAGGGCAAGUCGGAUGUGAAAGCCCACGGCUCAACCGUGGAAGUGCACCCGAAACUGCCCAGCUAGAGUCUCGGAGAGGAAGGUGGAAUGCUUGGUGUAGAGGUGAAAUUCGUAGAUAUCAAGCGGAACACCGGUGGCGAAGGCGGCCUUCUGGACGAUGACUGACGCUGAGACGCGAAAGCGUGGGGAGCAAACAGG